rnacentral:rRNA from 1 species
GACGGAAGGUGCAAGCGUUGCCCGGAAUCACUGGGCGUAAAGGGUGCGUAGGCGGCCGUGCAAGUCUGGCGUGAAAGCCCCGGGCUCAGCCCGGGAAGUGCGCUCGAAACUGCGCGGCUCGAGUGCCGGAGGGGAGAGUGGAAUUCCUGGUGUAGCGGUGAAAUGCGUAGAUAUCAGGAGGAACACCGGUGGCGAAGGCGGGUCUCUGGGCCGUAACUGACGCUGAGGAGCGAAAGCAUGGGGAGCGAACAGG